CCGCCGCGGCCUGGGUUCGAUUCCCGGUCAGG
rnacentral:piRNA from 1 species